GAGAACGCGGCGCACUUAAAAUUUAGCCAGACCGAGCAUGGUUGAUUGUGCUUUUGCUAAAACUGCUUAUUCGCUGCUCAACAAAAGAAGUAAUAACACCAAACGCAUUAAAAAAUAUAAUUCUUGCAGAUUAGGAUACCACAUCUAUUUGAUUUUAAUUAAAUUAAAAUCAGUAUUGGCCAGGAUGGGAAGCAAAGAGGAAAGGUUUUUCACGUUUGUCAUUAUUUAUUUUGCGCCUCACCUCGUCAACAUAAUCCUGAUUUCGAUUCUGUUGAGGCUCGUUUGCCUCAUGCGAAGGGAAGUGGCCCAGCUGGAAAAUAAUUUCAUGAAGCAAGUUGAUGCCCCUGAAAAUACUAAUCUCACUCUGGAAUCGGAGGCGGACUACGAUGAAGUGGGAAAUACAAAUUCUGAGGCCAAAAAGACCAACGAACCAGAAUCGUCUAAUGAUAGAAUCAGUAAGGAGAAGCCAAGGGAUUAUGACUACGUCUACACACAUGGCCGAUUCUCCAACGCUCGCCGUAAACCGUAAAUGGCAAAAAUUAAAAGAAAAGAAAAAUCAAAUGGCGUAAAAUUGUAUCUUUUUACUUUUAUUGAUGAAGAGGUGUCGUCUUACUGAAUAUGUAUUAUAUCAUAGUUUUUGAUCCUAGAUUUAAUGAUGUUCUUAAAGUUAUAUUUUUUUAAUAUUGUAUUAAUUUUGUUAUUUAUUUCAUUAAUAAUUAAAAUUUAAAAAUAUAAAUUAUAAUUAAUUGAAGACAUCAUUAUUUUUGUUGCAUAUAGUCUUGCUCUUCCUAUUUUAAAUAUGAAAAUUUAGGCCCUUCUUGUUAAUUAAUAAUGAUUGUUCAAAUAUAAAAAAUUUGAAAAAAUUUAAAUUUAUAAAAAAUGAAUUAGUGAAGUGUACUAAAAUUGGAUACAUUUGUAUUGAUAGCAAGUUUAAAAAAUAAAUUGAUAAUUUGUUUUUUAAUUAAAAUAUUGGAAUUGAAAGUUUUUAAGUGUGCUACAAGAAAGGAAAGUAAAAAUGAAUUAAUAUAGAGUCAAAUAAGCGGCAUGUUUUUGAUAAUUUGAGAUAAUAUACUUCCUUCAAAUAAGGCAAGAAAAAUCUCAUUUACUUCCUAGCCAGUGUAAUAGUCUUGUUAAAUACUGUGCUAUCUUAAAAGAAGGGGAGAAAAUCCAGCAUUUACUUCUUUUAGAAGCAGAGACUGGAAAAGGUUGAUUGUGCUUUUGCUAAUUCGGUACACGAAAAACGAAGUAAUUAUUCCAUCGAACGCAUCAGACACUACAUUUCUUUGCAGAUUCGGAUUGCACAGUUAUAAAGGGUUAUAAACGAAUUCGAAAUGAUAUUGGCCAACGUGACAGAGAAGGAAAAAGUAAUUAUUUUUUUGUUUGCCACUCUCUACAUAGCACCACUUUUGAUCACCGUUGUCUUGGUUGCGAUUAUGAUGAGGCUUGUUUGCAUAGUGCGAAGGGAAGUGGCUCUUCUGGGAAAUAAAUUCAUGAAGCAAGUCAUCCCUGCCAAUACUUAUGUCACACUGGAAACAGACUAUGAUGAAGUUGGAAAUACUAAUUGCGAGGCCAAAAAGACAAACGAACUAAAAUCGUCUGAUGAAAUGCUCAGUAAUGAGCCACCAAAGGACUAUGAUUACGUAUAUACGCAUGGCCGUUUGUAACUCUCGCCACAAACCAUAGACGAUUUCUAAAUAAUUCAAAUAUUUGAAGAAUAAAGAAUCUUUAGGCUUAUUCCAUGUUAUUUUAAUAUUAUAUAUUAUAUUUGUUGAAGAGGUAAUACUGAAUUUUUCUUACGUGCACAGUUACUAAUCCUCAUUAAAAUUGUUUAUCGUGGAGUAAUGAUGUUUUAUGAUUGCUUAUAUUUUUAAUGUAUACUUAAUAAAUCUACUUGUUUGCAAAAAAUUUUAAUUUAGCAAUUAAUAUUGAUUUAUAUUUAAUAUUUUAAUAUUCUUGCAUUCCCUAGUUCAAAAGUAGAAAAAGUCCACAAAAGAAAGGAGGAAGGACUGGAAGGAUCCAUCAAGCAAAACCCGCUCAGCGGAGGCUUUGAAUCAAUUGCAAUAUUUAUUAUGAGUUACUCAACGGACGAAGGAACCACUCCAACCAUCAACUUGAUUUUCAAUAGAAGAUUAUUCAAAUCAAGCACACCUAGUUAAGAGUCACCGUGGAACAGAGUCACUGCUUUACCAAUGGGAAUGGCGAGUUCAAACGAAGGUUUCUUGAUCGCUGUAGUCCUUGCACUUGUCAUUGUCAUCAUAGUGCUGAUUUUGGUGGUGAUGUGGCUCGUUUACCUCUUGCGACAAGACAUGGUUCGUGGAAGAGGUAAGAGCUGCACCAUGAACCAAAUUGUGUCUGGCCAUAUGAACCCGGAAGUUGAAUCAACCUAUGCCGAAGUGAAGAUUUUCAAUAAUGAUGUCACUGAUGUGAAGACUGCAGACAAAGUUGAUGACACCUUGAUAAUGAGCGCCCCCUCUCCCUCUAAUGGCAUCAAAGGUGGCAAGGAGACUUAUGACUAUGUGUACGCUCAUGGCCGAUUCUGCAAUGCCCGCUUCAAUCCAGAUCUGGUUGUGAAAGCUAACGAUGCUAAGAUUUGAAUAUUUUUUAAAACGUUUCUCACUUUCUGCUAAAAUGGUAUCAAAUUGUUUGGUUUGGAUCAAUUCUACUAUCUACUUAUUUCUUGUAUAAAAAAAUGCGCUCUAUAUAUUACUCGAUUUUUUUUAUUUUCAUAAAAUAAUUUUCAUGUAUCGAUUUCUAGAAUAUUUAAACAGCAUAAAUGUAUUGUAUUAUUGUCUACGAUAUUAACAUAAAUGAUAAUUUAAAUAUUUAUAAAAAAAUUUUAAUUGCCACCGGCUUUUUUAAUAAAAAAAAUCACUG